UCUUUAGCCAUGGUGAAGUUCCCCCAGUUGUUGGAAUGGCUUCUCUUUCCUAUUAUCAGGAACGAAGGCGCUGGUUAUGCAUUAGGUCACAGAUAUCCAGAUUAUGCAAAUAGUUUUCAGAGAGAAGAACCUCCUUAUCAUGGCUGUGGUAGAGAUUACUACAAAU